GGGCGCGUAGCUCAGUCCGGAUUGAGAGCGUCGGACUUCUAAUCCGACGGUCGCGGGUUCAAAUCCCGUCGCGCCCG
rnacentral:tRNA from 1 species